rnacentral:rRNA from 1 species
UGAGUCGCGAACGGGUGAGUAACGCGUAGGUAACCUACCUCAUAGCGGGGGAUAACUAUUGGAAACGAUAGCUAAUACCGCAUAACAGUAUUUAUCGCAUGGUAAAUGCUUGAAAGGAGCAAUUGCUUCACUAUGAGAUGGACCUGCGUUGUAUUAGCUAGUUGGUGGGGUAACGGCUCACCAAGGCAUCGAUACAUAGCCGACCUGAGAGGGUGAUCGGCCACACUGGGACUGAGACACGGCCCAGACUCCUACGGGAGGCAGCAGUAGGGAAUCUUCGGCAAUGGGGGGAACCCUGACCGAGCAACGCCGCGUGAGUGAAGAAGGUUUUCGGAUCGUAAAGCUCUGUUGUAAGAGAAGAACGUGUGUGAGAGUGGAAAGUUCACACAGUGACGGUAACUUACCAGAAAGGGACGGCUAACUACGUGCCAGCAGCCGCGGUAAUACGUAGGUCCCGAGCGUUGUCCGGAUUUAUUGGGCGUAAAGCGAGCGCAGGCGGUUUGAUAAGUCUGAAGUAAAAGGCUGUGGCUUAACCAUAGUAUGCUUUGGAAACUGUCAAACUUGAGUGCAGAAGGGGAGAGUGGAAUUCCAUGUGUAGCGGUGAAAUGCGUAGAUAUCUGGAGGAACACCGGUGGCGAAAGCGGCUCUCUGGUCUGUAACUGACACUGAGGCUCGAAAGCGUGGGGAGCAAACAGGAUUAGAUACCCUGGUAGUCCACGCCGUAAACGAUGAGUGCUAGGUGUUGGGUCCUUUCCGGGACUCAGUGCCGCAGCUAACGCAUUAAGCACUCCGCCUGGGGAGUACGACCGCAAGGUUGAAACUCAAAGGAAUUGACGGGGGCCCGCAC